rnacentral:rRNA from 1 species
AUUGAACGCUGGCGGCAUGCCUUACACAUGCAAGUCGAACGGUAACGGGCCUUCGGGUGCCGACGAGUGGCGAACGGGUGAGUAAUACAUCGGAACGUGCCCGAUCGUGGGGGAUAACGAGGCGAAAGCUUUGCUAAUACCGCAUACGAUCUACGGAUGAAAGAAGGGGACCGCAAGGCCUUGCGCGGACGGAGCGGCCGAUGGCAGAUUAGGUAGUUGGUGGGAUAAAAGCUUACCAAGCCGACGAUCUGUAGCUGGUCUGAGAGGAUGAUCAGCCACACUGGGACUGAGACACGGCCCAGACUCCUACGGGAGGCAGCAGUGGGGAAUUUUGGACAAAGGGCGCAAGCCUGAUCCAGCCAUGCCGCGUGCAGGAUGAAGGCCUUCGGGUUGUAAACUGCUUUUGUACGGAACGAAAAGCCUUCUUUUAAUACAGGAGGGUCAUGACGGUACCGGAAGAAUAAGCACCGGCUAACUACGUG